rnacentral:miRNA from 1 species
CAUCGGGAAUGUCGUGUCCGCCC